rnacentral:rRNA from 1 species
UACAGAGGUCUCAAGCGUUGUUCGGAUUCAUUGGGCGUAAAGGGUGCGUAGGCGGUGGGGCAAGUCAGGUGUGAAAGCCCGGAGCUCAACUCCGGAAAUGCCAUUGAAACUGUAAAACUUGAGGACGAGAGAGGUGAGUGGAAUUCCCAGUGUAGAGGUGAAAUUCGUAGAUAUUGGGAAGAACACCGGUGGCGAAGGCGGCUCACUGGCUCGUUUCUGACGCUCAGGCGCGAUAGCGUGGGGAUCAAACAGG